AUUGGGCGGAUCGACCGAUCUUCCUUAUCCCCGCAGGUGUCGCACCGGUCGAAUUAACAUCAACGGAGGUCUGAAUAAGAAAAAAAAAAACAAAACAAAACAAAAGACACUGAUUAGUGAUGUGUGCUGUGCAACAGUUGAAACUCUCACCUUGACCCCGCUAAAUAAAUUCUACAUACCAAGCGACGAACGAUUUGGCUCCGUGAAGAACAGUGGCUUCCUGGCCGACGGUCUCAAGGCACUGACUCACAGCGUUCUUCCAGCUCUGGAAAGCAUCAUCACGUUUGACCAGACGUUUGAUUCGCUCAAGGAGAUAAAGGACCUGUAUGACCAUGGAUUUGAUAUAUCCGAGCUUGUCACCUCACCAGUAAGGGGGAUGCAAACGCCACUCGAGUUCUUCAACGAGUUCACUGCAGACACCGGCAACACCAGCUACAUGAAGUACCCACUUCCGCAGAUCUUAAAAGGUAAUGCUCUUCAAAUGCAAACUUGAAAAACAUGCAUCUAACAUCAGGCAACUACAGUGAAUGAGAAGGGAUGGAUGACGGACGAAGAAUUUGCAAGACAGAUGCUGUGUGGAGUGAAUCCUAUGAUGAUUCAGUGUCUAAAGGUAAGUUCAUGAUACUCACAGCCAUUAGCCAACUCUUGAGUUCAGGAAUUUCCACCCAUGAGCACUCUGGAUCCUAAAAAAUACGGACCAUCAAAGUCAGCUAUCACCGAGGAACACAUCGGCAGUCGGCUAGAAGGGUCAACCGUACAACAGGUUCGUUAAUUCUUACGUACGAGUUCUAAGUUGACUCUCUAACCACGCAAAUGCAAAUGCAGGCAGUGAGUGACAAGAAACUGUUUAUUCUCAGCUAUCACGAUGAGUUCAUGCCUUACCUCGACAAGAUCAACUCCCAGAGAUCAUCUUACGCUUACGCAUCCCGAGUUCUCCUGUUUUUGAAGUCGGAUGGAACUCUACGGCCCGUAGCCAUCGAGCUCAGCACACCGUAUUCUCAGAGAGUCUUCGUCCCACCGGCAGCUGGAACAACCGAUUGGCUCUGGGAGCUCGCGAAAGCACACGCCGCCACGAACGAUUCUGGAUAUCACCAGCUUGUCAGUCACUGGUAAGCCAAACAUUUAGAGAAGAAACAAACAAACAAGCCUCUCGUAUCUGUUGUGAAGGCUAAGGACACAUGCUUGCAUCGAGCCCUUCAUCAUCGCGACCCACAGGCAGCUGAGCAAGCUUCAUCCUCUAAACCCGUUUCUGCAGCCACACUUCAAGCACACCAUGUCAAUCAACUCGCAAGCGCGGCAAAGCCUCAUCAAUGCAGCUGGAAUCAUCGAGCUAACUUUCACUCCAGGAAACUACUGCAUGGAGAUGAGCGCCGUGGUUUACAAAGGCUGGAGAUUCGACGAACAAGGCCUACCAGCAGAUCUCAUCAAAAGGUAACACAAACAAAACAAAAGAAAUGCUGGCACUGACACCACUCAUUAAAACUCGGUUCCAGAGGGAUGGCUGUCCCAGACUCCACAGCAAAGCACGGACUCAAGCUUGCGAUCGAGGACUAUCCAUAUGCCGCAGAUGGUCUUGAAAUCUGGGACGCUCUGGAAAAAUGGACGUCCAGUUACCUCGACGCUUGCUACAAAGACGACGAAGCAGUAGCAAACGAUGCAGAGCUCCAGGCCUGGUGGAACGAAGUAAUCAAGAAAGGCCAUGCAGACAAGAAGGACGAGCCAUGGUGGAUCAAGCUGGACAGCAAGAAAAACCUGGCUCUAGCGCUCACCACUAUAAUCUGGGUAGCGUCGGCCCAUCACGCAGCCGUGAACUUUGGCCAGUAUGCAUACGCUGGCUACAUGCCCAACCAUCCCACCGCCACUCACAAGGCAAUCCCGGCUGAGAACUCGGACGAACACAAGAAGCUGCUGGCAAACCCUGAGAAAUUCUUCCUCGAGUCGGUCUCGAGGAAGCUGGAAGCGAUCCUCGUCAUGCUCACGCUCGAGAUCCUAUCCACUCACGCGUCGGACGAGGAGUACCUGGGGCAGCGUGCCAUCGCGAACUGGACGGAUAAUCCCAAGGCCAAGGCCGCCUUCCAGAAUUUCACCGCCGCGAUGAAGAAUGUGGAGGGCAUCGUGGCGCGCCGCAACGCCGAUCCAUCGCUCAAGAACAGAUUGGGGCCCGUGCAGGUCGCAUACACGCUGCUCUCGCCGGCAUCGGAGAAAGGGAUCACUGGCAAAGGCGUGCCCAACAGCAUUUCCAUCUGAGCUAUGAGCCAUAAAGAAGAGGAAAGGUCGAUAAUAAGCGUUUAACCAAAAUAUUGAGUAUAUAUUGUUUUAAAUAUAUUUAUAAUUAAUAAAUAUAUUAAUCUUAGAAUAAAAUAAUGUGCUUUGAAUGUCAAAGUGAAUAUAUUCAAUCAAUUGUAGGUAAAUUGGCAAGAGUGAUUAUGAUUCUUUUAAAGUAGUUAAAUGCCUCAUCAUCUAAUUAGUGACAUGUAUGAAUAGAUUAAUUAGAUUCCUAAUGUCCCUAUUUACUAUCUAGUGAAACCACAACCAAGGGAAUGAACUUGGAAAAAUCAGUGGGAAAGAAGACCUUAUUGAGCUAAGAAUGGGAAUUUUUAUAUUUAACCUCUAAAAUACCAUUUCAACAUGCUUGAAAUUGGGAAAGAGUAUGGGGACUAGUGACAAAGGGAAGGAUCAAUGGAAUGAGAGUUUAGUUAUGUGUAGUUUAAAUCCACACCAUUUACUCUAUGAAUGCAUGCUCCCAAUCCUUAGUGGUUGUGAAUUCUAGAUCUUAUCAAUGGUCCCCAACCUUGUCUUUCCUAUGUGAUUGUGCCUAUUAAUGUGAAGGACUUGAGUCAGUUGUGAAAUUGGCAUUUAUUUCUCAAAAAUAUAAAAAGUCCUUAAACAGUCUUGAAUCCCACGAUGUGGUGAACUAAAGAGUGUACAUUAUUUGGUAAUAGUGACACUAUUGCUGCCUAGAAGCCUUCUCCUUGAUGCUAUGUGGUUAAUUUCUUCCAAUUGGUGUUGUCAUCUUUGUCAACAUGGUUUUUAUGUUAUUGAAAUGUGUAUUGAACAAUAAAUUUAUAUGCCUUCAUCAUUAUUUGAGAUUAGUAAAGAAUGUUGAAGAUCACUACAAAUACUUUUUCUUUACUAUCACUCUUAUUCAGCCUUUAUAAAACUAUAGUGUCUAGUUUCUAUAUGAUUGAAAGCAGAAAAGAGCAUUAUUAUAUAUGGGCAGGGAGGUAAGUCAAUAUCCAUUAUAGCCCAAGUGGUUUAAGUUUUCAAUGAAGAGUUUGAUGGACUUAGGGAAGUACACAUUUUAUUGUUCUUAGACAAGUGCUGCCAAAGCUGUAGUGGUGGUUUCAAUGUCCAUUCAUCUUCACUAGCCUCAUUUUCAUGCUAAAGAAGGGCUAUAAAGCUUGUUCCUUGGUAAUCUUUCCUUCAUCUCCUCUCUUUAUAAGUGUGUCAAGUUAGGAUGCUAAUGAGAUAAUCAAUUGAGACCAAACUUUUGAGAUUGUUGCUUGAGCUGAGGGGUUUUUGUUAUUGAACAUCCUAGCACAGGGAGCCUUUCAAAUCUCCACAAAAGUACAUCCUUUAAAGACAUCAAAUAACUUUUGGUACAGAUGCAUGAUGUGUGUGCUUAUUUAGUUGAGUUGAUCAAAGGAUUCUCACUAAGUCUCCAUUUCUAAGCAUCCAAGUGUUUUAUCUUUCCUUGGAUGAAGCAACCCAAAAUGCUGAUUUAUAGAUUAUAAUUGCACCAUCUUGAGAGGAUUGUUUGAGAAUUACCAUGAAGCCUUCCCACACAUCUUAUGCUACUGAACAUUCCAUAGGAUAUGGCAUUGUGUUUUCAUUGCUCCACAAAGUCUGCAAGUUGUGUUUAAGAGGUGGAUUGCCAAGAGUGAGAGGAGGCACUCCUACUGGGUGGGCCACAUAAAGUAUUGGGUCUUGGUAGAUUAGUGACCUUUCCAGAUUUUAUUCACACAUUGUAAGUAGUUCUGGGAGUGAAUAUGUUGUACUCUCACUUGAUAAAUGUGGAUUGCACUAGGGUACAAGCUACUCCUCAUCUGAGUUUAGUCUUGUAUUAAAAGAAGCCUUUGCAUAUGUCCCUCAAUUGCCACUUUGCGAGAUCCCAUUUCAGUUUAUUUGAUAUCUAUUAGCGAAACUAGUAAAGUCGAGUGUAUUGUCUCUCUAAUACAGCUAGGUCUACACUUGUUGUCUUUUUCUCCAUUUAAAUAAAUUCAAUAAUCAUUAGCUCUAUCUGGCUAGUGAAAUGAUGAAAGUAUCAACCAUACUCUCAAACUGACCUCUAAAAAGGAUAUGUAAAUAGCUAUGUUAGGGUCAUAAGUUGAGUACAUCCAAUUGCUUUAAACCAACUAGCACAAAGUGCCAUUUCACACUAUUUCUUAUAACAUUUUACUAACCAUCUAUUCUUGAGCUUGGAUGAUUGUGUCCCAAAUACAAUCAUUCAAGAUGGUGUCUACCAUACCACUAGUAGCUUUUGCAAUAAUGCAGUUACCACACUACUAACAACCUUUGUAGUCGGCACAUCUACCUUUGUUAGGCACCAACUUUGACCACAUGGUCAACAUCGGUCAAAGGGAGGCUCAAGGGUAUAUUAAAACAUGUUAAGGUAAAAGACUUAACCUUCAUAGUGGAGUGGUAGCAUAGUGGAGCUUUUGAGGUAGCUCAAAGGUAGUUGGGUGGUGAGGAACCUCAAGAGGAGGCAUAACAUAAUCUAAGAAGGUUCUCUAUCUUUUUGCACUGAAUCAUAACAUUGGUAUUAAAGCUUAAUUCAAUUCUUGUGGUUAACAAGUGGGGUAAGAAUAUUCUACAAGAAUAUUCAACAUGGUGGAUCUAGAGGAACGUAGUGGAUCUAAAGGGAGAACCAAGGUUUGGUAGACCCUAAGAGAAAGACCAUGGUGACUGGAUGGUGGCCUAAAUAUGAUCACGGAUGAUCAUUCCUUAGUGAGGGAAGGAUUGUUAGGUAUUAGAUCAGGAUAAUAGGAUAAAAAAAGGGCCUCAUAAUCAAAUGAUUACCCCUUUAGCCAAUUAGAUUAGGGUGUAAGGGAUAAAAUCCUAACAAUCCCGCCAUAAGUAGCUUCAAAAGCUAAAAGGGCAAUUCCCCCAAUACCACUAUAUCCUCAUGAGCAUCAGUGUAAUGCAUGUGAUCAUGGGAUGAGAUUUGGAUAUACUAUCACCAUGGAUUCUUGGAAUUUUGGGAGAUAAAUGGGGAUAAAAUAACCACUAAGGGAGCAAUUACCUCUUUUCCAGUUGAUUUAAGGAGAGAGAGAUAAGGUGCACUAUAGUUGGUAUCAAAGUAAAUGACACAAGUUCGAUUCCCAUUGAUUAGUGGCUACUUAAAAAUAUAAUAUACCCUUGAGUAAGGUAUAUUCCUACCCCUAAAUUUAAAAUUGUACAUAUUGGGUAUCCAUACAUACAUCCUUCCUCACCGUGGGACUGCAGUACAGGUGGAUGACUAGUUGCCUCACAUGGAAUAGCUAAUUUACACAAUGGAAGGAUUGAUAGAUUCAGUGCGGAAAUGAAUACAUGUCAAUGUCAAUGUCCUCAAUAGUCAAUGAGGACAUUGACAUCUCUGAGAGGAGGGGGGGUGAGUGUAAUGCAUGUGAUCAUGAGAUGAGAUUUGCUUAGAACCUUAGGGGAUAAAUAGGGAUAAAAUAGCUACUAAGGGCUCUCUCAUCCAGCAAUUGCCCUUUUUUCAAUUAGCUUAAGGGGAGAGAGAUAAGAUGCGCUACAAUUAAUCCUAAUAGACACAACUUCCCCACCACCACUAGUAUUAGUAAAUACCUCGCCACCAAUAAAUAUAGCCUCAACAACAGUAGCAUCAAAACUAACAUGAGCUUUUACCUUAGCAUCCACCUCAUUAUUAUGCUCUUUAUGGCCUUCUUUAGUAUGACUAAUAGCAACUUCAUUGGUUACUUGAGAUGAAUCUCCACUCAAUUAAGGUUGUUUUUUCCUAGAGACUAGGACUAUUGAGGCUCGCCUUGACACUUCCUCUAAAAUAAAAAACAAAAUAUUAAAAUAUCUAACUUAUAAAGCAAAAUUUACUUAUGGCAUUAUAAGUUUAAGUCCCUUCUUGGUCAAACUUAAUUUAUAUAUGCUCUCACAAGAAAAGUUUGUAAAUAAAAAAGUGUAAAAUCGAUUGUAAACUACAAGAAAUGCAAAGAAAAAUAAUGAAAGUCACUGAGAAAAGUUGGUUUGCCAACUUUAUUCUACCUCUCUAAAAUUCAGAAAACAAAAAUUCUUAAGACCGAGAAGGAAAAAAAAAACUAUAAUAACAUAGAAGAGGUCAAUUUGGGCAAGAAUCGACAUCUUUCACCCUUCGGCUUUUACAAGAAAAUCGCUAUCAAAUCCUUAAAAUCAAGAAAAAUAUAUCAUAACAUUUUUUAAGAUGAUGAUUUCAUAAGAACUGAUGUUUUUGUCUCUCCCUAUUUUUUAAAUUAUAAAAACCUCACCCUUAGCAGUAAGAAAAAAACCAAGAAAGCUUGCCUCUGAGAAAAAUGAAGUUAGGGAAAUGUUAGCUGCAAACAACAUUCUAUUCAAAGCAAUGUAGUUUUUAGCAUCAUACUAGAAUAAUAUCUUAAUAUCUAAAGCAUUGAAUGAUGAUGUCCUAAGGCAUUAUUGACAUGUGCAAUGCAACACGUUGAGAAGAUAACUUCUUACUUGCCUAUAAUUUAAGUUAGUCCCUUAAUUUUGUUAUUAUUUUGUGAUUUUGAAGAUCAAAGUUGUAUUGCCAUCCAACUUAAAAUUCAAACUAGCAAAAAACUUUUAAGGAGAGUCUUACUAUAAAAGUACUUAUGGAAAGGGGGUUUGCUUGUGAGCUAAAUCCUAAAAGCACUCUUAGAAGUGUCAUCUAGAACCAUUUAUUUAGUGGUAUUCACAUCCAUUCACAAGUACCUACCAUCCUUUGUUUCCAUAAAAAAAAGCCAAAGUUGUGCUUUUUUCUUAACAUUUUUUACUUCACUUUUAUUGCAAGUUUUACUUUCAACCAUAAAAAGCUUUUUAUGAUAAAAAAUCUUCAAUAUGAGAGUAAAGAUAUAAUAUUGCUUCAAUUGCUAAAAUGUCACCCCAAGCAUAAAUAACAGCAUGUUUCAACAUAUUACAGAGAAGAUCAGUUAGAAGAGUAAUUAUCUCUAAGAAAUCCUUCAUAAAUCAUCAAAAAAACUCCAAUCAUAUUACAAAAAACUAUGGAGAUCAUGUAUUAUCAAAGGCAAAGGUUAGUCACUCAUAACUUGGAAUUUUUCAGGAUCAAGCCACACAUCAUACACUGAAAUCAAAUGUUUAAGAUAUCCAAUCUCUAAGAAAAACUUGCAUUUAAAUAACUUCAAAUAAAAUUUAUUAUCCAUACAUAACUCUUUGCAUAUAUAUUUUAUGUUCCUCCAUUGUAGAGUUGAAUAUUAGGAUAUUAUCAUGCAAUCUUCCUUAAGUAAGGUUAUAAAACUUAAUUUGUCAACCUUUGAAAAGUUGUAAAAGCAUUUAUCAAACCAAAUGGCAUCACUAAAAGUUUAUGUUAACCCACUUUCACCAUUUGCAAAACAUUCUCUAACUUAAAAUAAAUAUGAUGAUGCCCUUGCCUCAACUUUAUAAAUACUGAGUAUUACAAAGACAAUUAAGUAAAUUAUCGAUAUGAGGGACUGAUAAUAUAUUCUUUACAAUUUUAUUGUUUAAUCCUUUAUAUUUAUGAAGAGAUCUUAUAUAUCAUCUUUUUAAUUAAUUAUCACUAUUGGAGCAACCCAAGGAGACUUAUUUAUCCAUAACUACCUUUUUUAAAGGUACUUAGUAAACUAUCUAUUGAUUUCCUCAUCUUUAGUGGAACUAGUAUGAGUCAAUAGUUGAUUGUAGCUCCAGGAAUUAAGUCAAUCUCAAAAUCCCAUAUUCUAGAAGUAAACUAUCAAGCAACUCAUCUAAAAUAUAUCACAAAACUCCUCUUGAAUGUAAUUCAUAUGAAAUGUAUUCCAAAUAAGGUGUUUGUAAGAUUAAUAUAAAGAUCACAAAACUUACAAGCAUACUAUCUAAAGAGAAAGUCCCCUAUCCAAUCUCUAGGAAUUAGUUCACAAGAGUAACUUCUUCAAAAUUCUUUAAAAAUGAAGCACAGAAAGCCUUUAUCAAAUUACUUCAAGAAUUUAAUUUUAGAUUAACUUUGAUGAGUCAUAAAAAAUUUAAUUUUGAUAUUAUCUUUAUAAAGGUUAUAAGAUUACCAACUUUUCUACAACUUCAACUAGCAAUCAGCCUUUUUAUUGCCAUAAUCAUUUGAUGAUGACUAUCAUUUCAAGAUACCAUAAUCCUUGAUUUACAAUACUAUAAUCCAAUAGUAAUUACAGACAUGAAAUUGAUUCAAACUUUGAAAUUUUAUAUGAAGCAAGAAAUUUUUUAAUGAGAUUGAUGGAAUCUUUCACCUCCUUCAUAUCAUUAUGAAUCUUAGUAAUGUAGUGUCCUUUCCUCAUGACAACAUCAUUAAAGCUAAGUUAUAUAUGUGGUGUCCCUAAUCAAGAUCUUAGAAUUUUUAUUAGAUCUUACCAUUAUUUGAAUAGGGUGUAAUAUGAAUUAAAGGAUGAGAUAAUGACCUUGAUGAAUGAAGGAAAGUUACACUCCUCUAUAGCUUUGAGUAGUUUUGUUAUUUCUUCUCCUAUCAAUAAUACACUUAUUUGAAUAUGGCAAUUCAACAAUGUGUUUAGUGGGUUUUUAAGUCAGGAAAUUCCACUCAAGGUUAGUUUAUUGGAGAUAUGUACAUCAAAGAAUGGAAUUUGCAUUGGUGGCAUUUAUUCUACACUUCUUUGAAAGUUGUUGAUUCAAGUCAUUAGAAAAACUAUUUUCAAGUUUUUGUGUCCACAAUCGAUUUCUUUUGUGAUUUAUUAGAUGAUAAUCUCAAUACAAAUCCUCUAUGAAGUUUUUGUAAUAUUCUAUAACUUUAUGGCAAAAUAAGUGGCCAUCUCUUUGUAGCAAUUAGCUACAAUAGAGAAGUUUGGAUAUCACUACUCAACUUGAAUCAAGAUAUUAAAGAAAUUUUUAAAAGCAAUUGUAAAGAAGUAUAUUAUGUGGGAAAAAGGAAAGAGAUUUAAGAUUGCAUAAUUUCCUAAAUUAUAUUGGAGUUAUCAAUUGCACACACACCUAAAUAGAGCUUCCAGGUGAGGAGAUUACAAAUAACAAUUCAACAUACAAGUAUAAGUUAUUGUUGAUAAUGAAUCUUAUUUUCUAAACUUGAGAGCUAGAUAUCUAGGAUUUGCAAGUGAUUAGAGGGUUUAGGCCACAAAUAACUUCAAGUCAUAGGUUACUCUUGGUGAAAGACUAAAUGAUCCUAUUUACUGUACAAGAUUUGGAAAUUAUCCCUAAGUAUUUAAUAGUAGACUUUGAGAAGGCUUAUGACCGAGAGGAUUAGCAUUGCUUAAGUAAUGAUCAAACAGAUAGCACUAUUGUAUAAAAGAGCAACCAGCCGAGUCAUGAUUAAUAGGGAGACAGGACCUUCUUUUCAACUAGGCCACUUGGUAAGGUAAUGAUGCCCCCUGACUCUAUACUUGUUCUUAAUUGUAGCUCCCAAAGACAGAAGUGGUGGCAUGAGAAUUGGAUGGAGCUUUUGCUGAUGACAUGGCACUCUUCCUAUAAGCCACUAUAGAGAACCUGGAUAAAGCAAAGGAAUGACUAAAAACUUUUAACUUGGCUGUCAGAGUGGCAAUCAACUAGAACAAGUCAGUCAGGAUAAACUAGGGGAACCUUGGGUUCAAAUCCUGUGGACAGGCAAUUGACUUCCAGUGGCUGAAACCUUGAGAGGAUAUGAGAUACUUGAGGAUCUAGGGGUUAAGUAAAACAUAACAUUGUAAGAUGGCAUCUUGUGGACUCUGGUCUAGAAAUGGGCUCCCAGGAAGCUUGGCCUCUCGACUAGGACUGUGGUGGCAAAGUCUGUCAUCUUGCCAAACAUAUGGUACCAUAUCUCAAUCUGGCUGCAAUCUGGUAUAUACUUACGUUUGGCAGGGUGCACUGAUGAUAGGGAGGAUGAUGGGCAAGGUGGCAUAGCAAUUCCAUCCACGAGUGUUGAGAGGACUCAAUUUCAUUGACCCCAGUGAUAUGGCCAAGGCUCUAAGGUACAAGAUCAUUCUCAUGGGACUCCAACCAAGUAGACAGCCAUUUAUCCAUGGCACAACAUGACUUGCCCAUGGGCCAAAGACCCGUGUUGGUUGUUUGCUGAAGGCCCAAUAUAGGUUGUGAAAGGGGUCCUCUUAUCCAGGGACUCCACAGGUUAUGGAACUCUUUUCCCCUAGGAUAGAUUAGACUAAGCUGCAUUGAGGAUUGGCUCAACCAGCCACUUUUUUUCAAUGCGCUCUUUAGGGAAGGGGAUCAGACAUUAGGCAGGGAGGACCACUACACCAUCUGGAGAGAAUUUCAUGUCGGGGGGUAGCAGCUGGUGGACAUAGUAGACAGGGAUAUGUUCAAAACAGCAAUCCAAAGUUUUGGAAUGGGGAAAUGAUGGAAAGUGGAUUAGAACUUGUUACAACUCCUCUAGGCUGUCAACAAUGCCAAAGGAGGAAGAAAAUGGCUAUGACAAUGCGCACAAACUGGAGACUUCAUAGCGAUCUAAUAAGAAGCACAACUAAAAGGUGAGGAAUGCAAGUUAGAAUCAAGGGCAUUUACUGCACUGAUGCUGGCGUGGACAGAGGUGGACAUUGAGGUAUGGUUCAUUACCUCCCCAGAGAAAAACGAUGGCCAUCCCUUUUCGAUUGUGUGGGGAGACAUGCUGGUGAUGGCUGGAGAGGUGUAGCACAUGCCCACAGUCAUGAAUAAUGAAGUAAAAGGCAGGAUCCAAGUUUUCUAGCAAUCAACCAGGAUAAUAGAUGUAGUCGAGUCAGAGGGAGAAGGAUGAUGGAGGAUCUUGACUGGGACCCAGCUGCUUGGAGGAGAGGCAACAAUGGUUUUUCUCAUAUGAUGUUAAGGAGGCUUGUAACAGACUCCACAUGAGGGUGAAAGGGACGAAAUCCCUGGAGAAAGUGGAUUGAUGAAUGCAUGGAAGCAGAACAUGUCAUAGACAACAUGGUAACUUUCUGGAAGCUCCCAAUUUAGGAGAAGGUGAAGAUCACCUCAUGGCUGGUGGCCAAUAAUAGCCUUCCAGUAGAACACCGUUUUCAGGAGGAAACCAGCCAGUGCUGCUUGACACGUUAUGGGAGUGUGACUUAGUGAAGGAGGUAUGGAGAUAGAUCCUUAAAGUGUUCAAGGACUUGGGAGUCACAGCCAAUAUGGAGGUAUGCAGUGGAAAUGUUCUUCAUUGGUUUGAAGAGUCAAGGGGCUCAGCAACAGCAUUGGCCUGGUGAAGAGUGCGGUGUCGGGGACAACAUGGAUGGGGUAUCCACAUACAAUAGGAUCUGGUGGGAGCGGAGCAGGGGGUUUUAGGCCAUGACCGUUGGGCAAUAUGGAGGGCCACAGGAGUUGAAGAGAUCUGGGAAGCACGGAACAGUCUCUGCUUUGAUGGUUAGCAAGCACGAGUGUCGGCUGUAGUAACAAACUGGUGGGCAGCACUGAAGGAUAGAAAGACACCAGUAGGGAUGAACCACUGGAGAAGCAUAUGGCUCCCCUGUUUUGGGGUGGACUCUAGGGGGGAGAUACACUGGAGGUGGAGACCCCCAGGGGACAAAAUGCCCCCUAAUUGCUCUACCUAAUGAUAAUCCCUUGUCCUGGUUGCAUGGGACUUUGGCAAGUGUACAGUUACAUUUAUCUACCCAGGAUCCCAAGUCUGGAAUUAGGGCCCAAAGGCACUUCCAGAUCGACCUCACAUAAACUAUCAAAGGACUUGGAAUUUUCCUAGGUCCCCCAUUUAAGAGUUGUCAUGACUCCUUAUCAAGAUCAAUAUCUAUCCCCAAAAGAAUUGAUAUUAAACAAGGUUAGGCUUUCCUAAGUCUAUAAAAUAUUCUUAAAAUAUUUCUAUAGCCCAGCUCUGGAGCAACAUUGAUAAAUUUAGAAAUUCAGUGGACCUCAACUUUCUGAUUCAGUACCUUCAUACCAUUUUGGUUCAUUCCUACAAGACGAAAACUACUACAUCACUUUAGAUUCUCAGUCCAAAAACGAUUUCAUAGCUAGACUUAUCAAACAGAUCCAUUUUCUCCCCCUAUGGACCAAUACCGAGCCAGCUCGUCACCACCACGAUCAAAACUCCCCUCCCCAAGCAAAACAAGACCGUGAUUGUCGCCACGCAUGGAACUGACACCCAUCCCAGAACAAAUCCGAAGGCCCCAAGUUAAAUGGCCCUGGAGUGAAGCUCUUGGCGCGGAAAAAUAUCGGGAGUGUGUGUGCAAUGUAGAGGCCGAUAGAUACCAUAGCUUGAAAGGCAACGCUGCUUCCCAAGUACUGGAGAAAUACCAAAAACCACGGUGGUGAGUCAAGCAACGAGAAAUAGUAGAGGAUGAGUUCCGUGACUAGCAACUCAAAAGGUAUAAAGUUCUUCCAUGUUUGGAUCUCUUUUUUCCAAUCAUUUUCAAGGAUGGCCUAUGCUCUCAAGGGAUGCUUCUGGCACACUCGCGGUGUGUGCGUUUUGCAUGGCUCUUCCGGUAAGUAUCCCACAGAAAAAAAAUGGGCACGGCAGGCAAACUAUGCUUCCGGUUCCAGUGCCGUAUUUAUCCUUGAAAAUGGUGUAAAAGAGUUGGGCUACGGCAUAACCUUUGGCGUCGUUGUUUGGAUCAAGCAAGAACCCGAUGUCGCUGAUCGCCAAAGUGAUUUCGAGAAUGUAACCAUCCAACGAUGACGGAUAUAACAACGGCACUUAUAAUUCCAAAUGCACCGUUUUUGUCUGCUGAUCUGGUCUCCUCGGACUGCAUGGGACGAUGGUGAGGACAAAUAUAAACCAGAAAGCCACCAUAUGAGCAGAGGCAUCGUAUCCAAUAAGUGCGUAUUGGCUCAUCAAAAUUCCAAGAAGAAAAAUAUACGGAUAGCUGUGAAUACCUUCGUUGUUCACUGUGUUGAAAUACUUGAAAACAACCAAUCAAGUUCCAGAACACGGCAAAGGUACCGAAAAAAGAGAGGAUAUGAAUUGGCAGGCUAUUUACUAGCCCGUGAAGAAACAAAAGGUCUGCAUGGAAUCCUAUUACGACGCACUUGGAGGCAUAAUAGCCACGACCAUUUGCACCACCAGUGCUCAGUAGUACCAUCACUUGAAGGAGAGUGGCUAGAGAAAGGUCUAUGCUUGUCGUCACAGGCCACUGAAUUUGAAACAUAAAACACACUAAAAGAGAAGAAAAGAGCGAGAGCUAGAAAGACACACCUGACCAACAAUGUAAAGAAAGGUGAAUGAGAGAGUAAACGAAAGAGCUUACCAGCCAGUGAUCCAUGCUGCAAACGGACCCCAGUUCUCGCCAGCUAGGUUGAAGCUCCAGAAUUAGAGUCCUAAGAGUACCACCUAUUAGCGGGAUGGACUCAGGCAGAGCAAAUGACUCCAGCGGUGGGAUGGGAUUCGCGUGCGUCGGUCUGAUCGUAGCCCCACGGACCCAGCACGAGAAAGAGACUCUUUUCGGCUCCUUCUAAGGUAGUUUUCUUAGUCCGUCGACAAUUUUAUAUGCAGCUACCAAAGUAGGAUCAAAAGUAGGUCACUGAUUCUCACGUCACCUUGCAUGAGCUGUUACGAUUUGGUUGCUCGGUGAGAAAGAAAAAUCUGCCUGUAGCCUCAAUCACAUGAUACUAAUCAGUCCCACCUUCUUCACGUGUAUGCCUCAAGCUGCGUAUAAAUCUGCAACCCCUUGCAGUCGAGGAAAACAUUAGCUUACAACUUGCCUUCCUGCUUUUGUAUACUCUUGCAUCUUGCUCUUCUAGUAUGGCGCUUCUCGGAGGCAUAGCUGGAGCCUUGUUCCAGGAUAGAGGCUCGUCUAAGAUCGUCUAUAAAGGCGCUGUCCUCGUCCGGAAAACUAAUGUCCUCGAUGUCACCAACGUUGGAGCUUCGGUGGUGGACAAUACCGCAGAUCUCCUUGGUCUUGGAGUGACACUGCAAUUGAUCAGUAAGUAUAUGUUUGUCGCUGCCAAGAACAUCCUCACCUUUGAGUAUUGUACAGGUGCCAAGACAGGAAAGAAGAGCGAUCCCGCAAACCUUGAGAAGUGGUUGUUUUCUGGAGGAUUAUUUGCUACGGACGAUGUCAAGUACUCUGUGAAGUUUUCAGUAGAUCCGGAUUUCGGACUGCCUGGAGCAUUUAUCAUCGCAAAUAGUCAUCCAAGUGAAUUUUACCUUGUCUCUUUGACUGUCGAGAUGCCUGGAGGGGGGAAGAUCGUUGAGUUUCCUUGUUAUUCCUGGGUUUACAAUUCGAACCUCUACAGAACAGAGCGUCUGUUCUUCAGUAAUCAGGUAGGCCCUGCGUGGUAAAGAUCUCUGACUGUUGUAUCCUGACGAAUUCUUUCAGCUCUACUUGCCAAACGAGACACCGACGGGCCUGACAAAUGCUCGGGAGAGUGACUUGAAAGCCCUGCAAGGCGAUGGAACGGGAAUUAGACAAGACUGGGAUCGGAUUUACGACUACGAUACUUACAACGAUCUGGGAAAUCCACUCCUCAACCUGCAAAGACCAACUUUGGGCGGAUCGACUGAUCUUCCUUAUCCCCGCAGGUGUCGCACCGGUCGAAUUAACAUCAAUGGAGGUCUGAAUAAGAAGAAGAAGAAAAAAAAAACUGAUUAGUGAUUUUCCUGUGCAACAGUUGAAACUCUCACCUUGACCCCGUUAAACAAAUUCUACAUACCAAGCGACGAAAGAUUCGGCGCCGUGAAGAACAGUGACUUCCUGGCCGACGGUCUCAAGGCACUGAGUCACAGCGUUCUUCCAACUCUGGAAAGCAUCAUCACGUUUGACCAGACGUUUGAUUCGUUCAAGGAGAUAAAGGACCUGUAUGACCAAGGAUUUGAUAUAUCCGAGCUUGUCACCUCACCAGUAAGGGGGAUGCAAACGCCACUCGAGUUCUUCAACGAGUUCACUGCAGACACCGGCAACACCAGCUACAUGAAGUACCCA
rnacentral:lncRNA from 1 species